AGGAGUGCUAUGAAAAUGAAUUACCAAAACUGCUGGUGGCAGUGAGACUGGUAUAUUUCUGGAGCUCCACCAUGAAUCAACACAAAGAAAAAGCCUGAAACUCAAAUGAGCUUAAUUUGAUUUGGUAGGAGAGCAAACCAUCAAUUAAAAUAAUAAAUUAUGUGUAACAUUAUAAAUCA